rnacentral:rRNA from 1 species
GACGAACGCUGGCGGCAGGCCUAACACAUGCAAGUCGAACGAGUGGCGGACGGGUGAGUAAUGUCUGGGAAACUGCCCGAGGGAGGGGGAUAACUACUGGAAACGGUAGCUAAUACCGCAUACCAGCGGAUGUGCCCAGGUGGGAUUAGCGAGUUGGGGGGGUAACGGCUCACCUAGGCGACGCUCCCUAGCUGGUCUGAGAGGAUGACCAGCCACACUGGAACUGAGACACGGUCCAGACUCCUACGGGAGGCAGCAGUGGGGAAUAUUGCACAAUGGGCGCAAGCCUGAUGCAGCCAUGCCGCGUGUAUGAAGAAGGCCUUCGGGUUGUAAAGUACUUUCAGCGGGGAGGCGUUACUCGCAGAAGAAGCACCGGCUAACUCCGUGCCAGCAGCCGCGGUAAUUC